rnacentral:sRNA from 1 species
UUUUUUUUUACUUUUUUUU